GGAGAGGUGACCGAGUGGACGAAGGUGCUCGCCUGGAGAGCGGGUAGGCCCGGAAGGGUCUCGUGGGUUCGAAUCCCACCCUCUCCGCCA
rnacentral:tRNA from 1 species